GGAGCAAAUUUUGGCCAUACGGAGGAUGUGGUUGAGAAAAUCCCUGGAUAAUAUGUUCAGUUGUAAUCUCCAAAUGCUACUGGAACAAAAGCAGCCACUAAAGCAGGAAAGCACAUACCAGCAGGCUCAAGGGAGAAAGCUCGGGAGCUUGAAGACUCGUACAGCCAGAUUUGGGAACAGCUUCUUUGCAACUGUGAUAAGACUGCUGAAUGGAUCCUGACCCAGAUCUGGGCCGUACCCUCCAAAUAUCCGGACCUCCCUCUCAGUUUUUUUUUCACUACCUUACUUUCCCUUUUCUAUUUUCUAUUUAUGAUUUAUAAUUUAAAUUUUUAAUAUUUAUUAUCAAUUUGUAAUCUAGGGAGCGUGAAGCGCAGAAUCAAAUAUCGCUGUGAUGAUUGUACGCUCUAGUAUCAAUUGUUUGGCAACAAUAAAGUAAAGUAAGUAAGUAAGUAAAUCCACUGAGAGAAUGAAUGUCCUCUCUCAGGCCAACAUGAGAGAACCUUUUAUCACUGGU